GUGCUGGCACAGUGCUGGCUGCUGCCUUGCCCCCCUCCAGCCCCAGGCUCCAGGAGGUGAGACCUGAGAGCAGCCCUGCUGGCUCAGCACAGCUUUGUGCCGGCCAAAGCUCCUCCUGGCUCUUCUCCCAGCUCCAAGUGGGGGUCGCACAUCCCUCUCAGCUCCCCCCCCGCGCCACGGCUCGGUCCGUGGUUUGGGUGGGCACAGGCACCCUGCGGCUGGCAGCUGGUGGCUCCCAGCAGCCCUGCUGGGCUGGGCAAGCUCCUCGGAGCCCUGCCGAGGCUGCAGCCCCUCUGUGCCCGCCUGGCUUUAGCCUUUCAUUUCCCCUCCUGCCUGCUGGAGAGCGACUCUGAGCUCCGGCAUCCUCCCUGCCUCCCGAGCAGAGGCAGCUGAGCCGCGGCCGGCAGGGGAGCAGGAGGGAGAGGAGGAGGAGGAGGAGGAAGCUGUGCGCCCAGCAUCUCCUCUCCGCGCCGAGAGGAGCCAUGCUGGAUAUCUUCAUCCUGAUGUUCUUUGCCAUCCUCGGCCUGGUCAUCCUCUCCUACAUCAUCUACAUGCUCUAGAGCCGCCCCGGGCGGGAUGCAGCUCCCGGCGCAAGCCUCGCCCAGCCACAGCCUGAUCCAUCUUCCUCGAAGCCUCCUGGAAUCACCUUAACCCCUGCAGGGACCCCCCCCACACCCUCGGCUGCCCCACCCCGAGCUGGGGCGAAGGAGGGCAGAUGAGGUGGCAGGGGAGGGGGCAGCUCUGUGCCAUGGCCCUGCCCAGCCCCGGGCUGCCGCCGCUGACGCAGGAAGCAUCAUCCCGGGAGCCCAGGGAGGCUGCGGGGCCCCCCCGCGGGAUGAGCGCUGCCAAGGGCGGGCGCUGGGGGUUAAUUUUAGCGAACCCUUCCUAUUUUUAGCCCCAAACGAUGAAGGGAGAGAAAUAAAAGCGGAAGGAGAGCGGCGA